CAAGUUUAUCAACUGGAGAGUUUGAUCCUGGCUCAGAUUGAACGCUGGCGGCGUGCUUAACA
rnacentral:rRNA from 1 species